rnacentral:rRNA from 1 species
GACGAACGCUGGCGGCGUGCUUAACACAUGCAAGUCGAACGGAAAGGCCCUGCUUUUGUGGGUGCUCGAGUGGCGAACGGGUGAGUAACACGUGAGUCACCUGCCCUUGACUUUGGGAUAACUUCAGGCAACUGGGGCUAAUACCGGAUAGGAGCUCCUGCUGCAUGGUGGGGGUUGGAAAGUUUCGGCGGUUGGGGAUGGACUCGCGGCUUAUCAGCUUGUUGGUGGGGUAGUGGCUUACCAAGGCUUUGACGGGUAGCCGGCCUGAGAGGGUGACCGGCCACAUUGGGACUGAGAUACGGCCCAGACUCCUACGGGAGGCAACAGUGGGGAAUAUUGCACAAUGGGCGGAAGCCUGAUGCAGCAACGCCGCGUGCGGGAUGACGGCCUUCGGUUUGUAAACCGCUUUCGCCUGUGACGAAGCGUGAGUGACGGUAAUGGGUAAAGAAGCACCGGCUAACUACGUG